UAAAAAAUAGGCUAUAAUAAGCCAUCGGGAUGAUACUCCGAGGAUGAGGUUAUCCUCUUUUUUAA
rnacentral:tRNA from 1 species